GUUCUGGUGAUUAUAGCGUAGAGGUUAUACCUGAUCCCAUCCCGAACUCAGAAGUCAAGCUCUACAACGCCGAUGGUACUUGGGGUUCGCCCCUGGGAGAGUAGGAAGUCGCCAGAACC
rnacentral:rRNA from 2 species